GGGCAUUACCUCCUUGUGGCUGCUUAGAAACCACCUGGGGUGAAAUUCAGUAAGGAAUGGACUGUUUGCAUGGCAGAGGUGUUGGUCAGCUUGAAAAGACCGAAUUGCACAUCUCCAAGGCUUCAUGCUUUGUGACCAUCAUCCAGAAAUGAAGACAGAAGAGCACUUUGAGAAUCUGAGGGGAUUUAAGGGUUUGAAAAGUGUAUCAGUAGAUGUUACUCUGAAAAAACAUGUGUGUGGGAAAAGGGCAGUUACACUAACCCAGCUAUUAGCAGUGUACUUUAAAAGGCAAUAGAUCUCUUUAACAUCUAAAUAAACUGAGAAUUCUGUCUAGAAGUAAAAAAGGAA